UACGGGAGGCAGCAGUGGGGAAUAUUGCACAAUGGGCGAAAGCCUGAUGCAGCGACGCCGCGUGAGGGAUGACGGCCUUCGGGUUGUAAACCUCUUUCAGCAGGGAAGAAGCGAAAGUGACGGUACCUGCAGAAGAAGCGCCGGCUAACUACGUGCCAGCAGCCGCGGUAAUACGUAGGGCGCAAGCGUUGUCCGGAAUUAUUGGGCGUAAAGAGCUCGUAGGCGGCUUGUCGCGUCGGAUGUGAAAGCCCGGGGCUUAACCCCGGGUCUGCAUUCGAUACGGGCAGGCUAGAGUUCGGUAGGGGAGAUCGGAAUUCCUGGUGUAGCGGUGAAAUGCGCAGAUAUCAGGAGGAACACCGGUGGCGAAGGCGGAUCUCUGGGCCGAUACUGACGCUGAGGAGCGAAAGCGUGGGGAGCGAACAGGAUUAGAUACCCUGGUAGUCCACGCCGUAAACGUUGGGCACUAGGUGUGGGCGACAUUCCACGUCGUCCGUGCCGCAGCUAACGCAUUAAGUGCCCCGCCUGGGGAGUACGGCCGCAAGGCUAAAACUCAAAGGAAUUGACGGGGGCCCGCACAAGCAGCGGAGCAUGUGGCUUAAUUCGACGCAACGCGAAGAACCUUACCAAGGCUUGACAUACACCGGAAACGGCCAGAGAUGGUCGCCCCCUUGUGGUCGGUGUACAGGUGGUGCA
rnacentral:rRNA from 1 species